CAAAAGCGUAUAUUAAAGUUGUUGCAGUUAAAAAGCUCGUAGUUGAACCUUGGGCUUGGCUGGCCGGUCCAUCUUUUUUGAUGCGUACUGGACCCAGCCGAGCCUUUCCUUCUGGCUAGCCUUUUUGGCGAACCAGGACUUUUACUUUGAAAAAAUUAGAGUGUUCAAAGCAGGCCUUUGCUCGAAUAUAUUAGCAUGGAAUAAUAGAAUAGGACGUUAUGGUUCUAUUUUGUUGGUUUCUAGGACCAUCGUAAUGAUUAAUAGGGACGGUCGGGGGUAUCAGUAUUCAGUAGUCAGAGGUGAAAUUCUUGGAUUUACUGAAGACUAACUACUGCGAAAGCAUUCACCAAGGACGUUUUCAUUAA
rnacentral:rRNA from 1 species